CCGUGUCGCGGCGGUCUCGCUCCGCCGGGAGCCUGAGCGGAGCCGGGCCGCGCCGGCCUCCCCGCCUUCGCCUGGGGCGGGCGGGCAGCCGGCCUGGGCAAGGGCUGGCUUCCUGGCUUCCUUCCUUCCUUCCUGCUGCCCGGGCCCGCGGCCUUCGGCGGCGCAGGGAGCGAGGGACGGCCGGGCCUGGCGGCGGGACUCCCGCCUGCCCUGCUGAGGCGCAGGGAGCGGCUCCCUCCGCGGGUUGAAGGCGGCCCCUCUCCGGAACUGUCACCAGACCGUGGCGGUCGUCCGCGUCUGCAGCUCGCAGCCGCCUCCCGGGGACGUGUUAACACGCCCUCCGUUAAAACAGCUGUCAGAAGGUAAAACUCAGGCUGUUGCUGCCAUCUUGAAAACUUCAUUUCCAGCAGUUAAACAAGCAAGCGCAUAGAAGUAGAAGCAAUCCAUACUGGGGUUUGCUGUCAGUAAGGCAAAACUACCAGUUUUACGGUAUUUUUGCAAAAUCCUUUUGCUUGACGUGCCUUGUUAAUGCAAUCGUACUUCAACUAUUAACCGCAAUGAUACCUAUUUUACAGUGCUAGCAUUCCCAGCUUUUCAAUAAACACACUGGAUAGUAAAGGUUCUGCUGAGAACAUUUAAAAAAAUAAAGGACUAGUCACUGUUCUUACCUGGUGACAGGGCUGCUUUCUGUAGAGCUGGCUGUUAAAAUCACAGCCAGUCCCCAGACGGGUUGUCAGAAAACACCCAACCAGCUCCGCUCCCUGCCACUGCUGUGAAGGAUGCUUCUACCCAGUGAAAGCUCCUUUAGACUCGGCCUCACCAUCCAGCCCUGCAGACCUGAUCGCUGGUAAUUGGCAGCACUCCUCUGCUCACAACCCAAAUCCUUCUGUGGUGUUAUUCCCACCCCAAGAAGCCUUUGUUUCCUGUAGCGCCUUUGAAUUUCUCAAAGCCGGCUGCGUACCUCUGGAUUAAACAUCUGAAAUACAAAGUAAA